UCUCAUCGUUUCCCAUUUUCCCAUUUUGGGUUUUACAUUUUACUCAUUGUCUUUUAACCUUUUUUCUUUUAUGCCUGUUAUCAAAAUUUGUGCCAAAAGUUUAACAUGUUUGAAGGUACGGGGAUGUGUCACUUUUUAGGGGUACCUUUUUCUGAAAAGUGUCAUUGGUACCAUUUGGAAAAACAUGCAGAAUUGUGGGUACCAUAUUGGGAAAAUAUUACAAAAUUAUUAGGAGGUAGAUUAAGCAUUAACGAAAUGAAUACACUUAUAUGUGAAUGAGGUAUGUGUAAUAUUGAGAUUUUGGGGCAAAAGACAUAAAAAAUUUGUUUGAUGAUUUUGUUGUGCUUUAAAAAUGUCAUUGCUUUGCAGAAUUAUGGAUAUAUUUUUCAUCAUGUUUGCAGAAUUAUGGGUCACAUUUUUUCAGACAUGUGCGGAAUUAUGGUUCCAAAUUUCUUAACCAAAAUGUCACGUCCCCGUCUAAAAUUAGGCUUAGUUACAACCCCCCUUGCUUAGUUGCAACCCCCCUUGCUUAGUUACAACCCCCUCCCCCCCCCAAGAGAAAAGCACAGUGCAAUUUCUAUCAGCUUCAUCAAAUGCAUAUGCAUUGAUCUGGACUUUGAUGAAAAGGUACUCCCUGAGAAUGGCACAACCCUGCACAACUUCUAAUGCAGUUCCUGGAUCCCUUCUGAUUGUUGUCCCAAUCAGCACUCCCUGAGAUACUAAUUUGAGGUACAUAUUUGCACUUUUUCAGAGACUAACUGAGCAUCGGAGGGCUGCCUCUGCUUGCCCCCUACUCCUAGCUCCCUCGCUAGACUACUGCCUACAUUAAUUUACAAUAUUGAAAUUUUACUUGGUACAUCACUGAUGGCUCUUGUAGUAGCUCUUUCCCAAGUCUUUUGGAAUACAGUGGAACCUCUAAUAGCGGCUACUAUUGGGAGGUUUUUUUAUGUUUUUUUUAUCUUCUUAAAUGAUGGCUGGACGAGGGAGGAUGGGGUGAUUUAAGAAUUUAUACGUAAGUUUUGUUUACAAAUAUUACAAAGUCGUGAUCUAUGAUAUCAUGCACUGUCACUUAAUAGAAAUAAAUCAUGGGGUUGGAUUAGGACUUGAAAUGCCUGUGAUGACAUUAAAAGGCAGGAAAAAGCUAAUGGUUUUUAAGACAAGCAUACUUUCUAAUUAGAAACAAAUAUUUUUUAUCUUACUUUCAUUUCUUUGUGAAAGGUAAUCUGCUUGACCGUUAAUGGAAGUAAAAUGAGCCACUGGGGCAUUCCCAGUGGCCGUUUAUUGCAGGUGGCCGCUGUGCGAGGUUUUUUGUGAGAGUUUGACCAUAAAUUCGGCAGGUACUUUCUCCACUGGCCGCAGACCUGGAGGUGGCCGUCGCACGGAGGUGACCAUUGUUAAGAGGUUUCACCGUAAAUUGUUUAGAAUCUGCUCUUUUCAAUUUGAAUAAACUGCUUUUGAUUAAGAACAAAAGUUUUUCACACCAACAGGCGUAGUCAACUCUUCCAAACAAAUCGCCAAAAUUUGAAUUCAUCAUCGCUUGGAAAUUGGUUACAUGAACUUUUCUCCGGAUUUAAUGCGAUGGAAGAAUUCGACUGAUCGAAUCGCACUAGUCGGAAGACUUUGGUUUAUUCAAGUCAUCCUGGGUGUAGCAUUUUACAAGCCUUUGGACUUUCCUUAUACAGAUGGACUGAAAUAUUUGCAGGUUUCAAUUAAGCUGUAAUUAAUCUGUUUUUUUAAAGUACGUCAAUCGCUUUUGUCGCUAUGUUUUAUUGUGAGAAACAUUAGAAAACUUGUAAAUUCAUGUUGGUAAAAGAAAAAAUAUAUUCAUCUUUCAACUUGAUGCCUUUAUUACAAAUUGUGACUUUUCUGCCCCAAGCACAACCCCGCGAGUCUUUAAUCUUUAUUACAUUUUGAGGUAGUUAAAGCGCUCCAUGCUUUUGCCAUUUAUCAACAGAGCCGCUUACGUUAAGCCCUUUCCUUUGAAUCUUAUUUUAUACUUUGAGUCUCUAAACAUUUUACCUUCUCAAUCAGAUUCCCUGAUUAUUUCUAUUGCAUUACCCUUGAAUUUCUUUUAAAUUUUCACCCGUUUUUCUAUUGAAUUUCAACGAAAUUUCUUUUGAUUAACCCCCCGUUUUACUAUUGAAUUUUGUCGUAAUUUCUUUAGAAUCUCCUCCUGUUUUUCUAUUGAAUUAGAAGAAAUUUCUUUUGAAUUUCCCCCCGUUUUUCUAUUGAAAUUUGUAGAAAUUUCUUUUGAAUUUCCCCCCGUUUUUCUAUUGAAAUUCGUAGAAAUUUCUUUUGAAUUUCCCCCCGUUUUUCUAUUGAAAUUUGUAGAAAUUUCUUUUGAAUUUCCCCCCGUUUUUCUAUUGAAAUUUGUAGAAAUUUCUUUUGAAUUUCCCCCCGUUUUCUAUUGAAAUUUGUAGAAAUUUCUUUUGAAUUUGCCCCCGUUUUCUAUUGAAAUUUGUUAAAAUUUCUUUUGAAUUUUCCCCCGUUUUUCUAUUGAAAUUUGUAGAAAUUUCUUUUGAAUUUCGCCCCUGUUUCCUAUUGUAUUUUACCUAAAUAUCCAUUGUAUUUUCAACACUUUACUUUGUUAUAUACAAUGCGAUGACUUUGAAUUUUUUCGAGUUUUCUUUUGUUUUAACUUUGAAAUUGAAAAAAAAUUACAAUGAAUUUCCCCCCUGUUUAUAUUAAAUCUCCAUUUAUAUUUGAAACCGAAAUCUCCCGUUUUUCUAUUGUCUUUCACUGGCGGUCAAGCCCGCGGACGGUGGCUGAAGAAAUCGGGGCUCGAGGCCGCAAAUGAUUGACAGGUCAUUGUUAUCCACCAAUCAGGUUGCUCUAUUACAGCCCAUUUUGGUGGCUGCGGGCGGGAGCCGUCACCUACGAUAUAGCAAAAUUUUAGAAAACAGCGGCCACUGGCGGCCACCAUUGUCUUUCGACCAAUCAAAAUGGGGCAUUUCGGCCUCACUCUAUUGUUUACUGACCAAUCAGAACCCUUCAAUUCAAAUUUUCCAUUGUUUCCUGACCAAUCAUGGUUUAGGGAAUUCUAUUGUAUUUUCAAUUGUUUUUAUCCAAUCACAUUCGCUCAUUUCAGCCCAUCUAGCCUCGUUUUGAUGCCCAGUAAAGACGGGGGGCUACAGCCUCGUUUGGACCGGUCAAAAGACGGGGGUCAGAAAGAAUUUUUGCUCGAUUUUCUCCUCUUCAUUCAAGCGAUCUUACUCUACUUACAAUUUUAAGUUCUACCUAUGUAAGUGCCGAGGAGACUGUUUUCGAAAGGGGUUUGUCUAAGCAUGGUGUUUUAAGCAAAGGGUUAACAAGAAGGAAAAGAAUUCCCCCUUGUUAACCCUUCGAUUAAAACACCCUGCCAAGAAAACCCUUCGUAUGUUGUGUUAGGGGUUAAGUUAGCAUGGCGUUUUAAUCAAAGGGUUAGCAAGAAGGACAAGGCCCCCUCGGUAACUCUCCGAUUAAAACGCCGUGCCACAACUCCUAACGCAACACCGAAAACAGUCUCCUAAGCAAGCUACAAACUACUUACACAGAAUUAAGCUACAAUUAAAGACAAAUCUAAGUAAAAACGAAAGGGCCUAUUCUAAAAACAAAUGUAAACAGGCGCCAUGCUUACACCCAUUCGUAGAAUAAACCCAUGCAUGUUUUACAAUAUUAAGACGAUAGAUAACUCAACCGGAUACCUUCUCAAAAAAGGGGAACUUCCUAAUUGGGCAAUAAACAAAUUAAUAUGGGCAAAAAUUGUAUGCUUGGCUAUCAAAUGUCUUUAUAUGUUAAUGUAUAAAACUCGGGAUGAAACAUCAAAGGGGUUUUCAGAUAUGGAGGGGGAAAUAAGGAGAAAUUAACUAGUGUAAAUGAAAUUGAUGGAUCAAAUUAUGGUUUGAUAUUCACGUACCUUAUCGGGUGGUGAAAAAACAUCUUAGGGAUCAAUCAUUCAGGAAAUUACUUAUCCUUUUUCACUAGCAAUCUAUAGUUUCAUAUUAUGUAAUUUGCCUUGACGAUAAACGUAUAAAAACUGUCCUAUCGCUCGCAACCAAUGGGAGUCUUAAAGCGUUCUAUUUCUCUCUAAAAGGGAACCUGAUUUCAAAACUAAUAAAUGUUGGGAUAAAAUACCGGUCGAGAAUAAGCGGCGAUCUACCAUAAUAUUUUGUGAUUUCAAGUUCAAUCUCUAAAAAUUGUUCAUAAUCUUCAUAUCUUCUACUUCAACUUCUGCUUUGUUCCAUGCGAUCGACUCCUUCCAAACCGAUCAUCUGAAAGAAUGAUAGAGAAGCCAGCAAUAUCGCAAUAAAUGAUCAACUGCAGCAGUUGUUAAAUGUGACAUCUUUGCAAAACAAUAUCAUCAAUGUCCAAGAAGUGAAAAUCGAAUUUUCCAUCGAAGUUAAAGAUUAAGUCAAGGAACAACUUCGAUGAUU